CCUACGGGUGGCAGCAGUGAGGAAUAUUGGUCAAUGGACGAAAGUCUGAACCAGCCAAAUAGCGUGAAGGAUGACUGCGCUAUGGGUUGUAAACUUCUUUUAUAUGGGACUAAAAUCUUCCCCGUGUGCGAGUUUGUAGGUACCUUAUGAAUAAGGAUCGGCUAACUCCGUGCCAGCAGCCGCGGUAAUACGGAGGAUCCGAGCGUUAUCCGGAUUUAUUGGGUUUAAAGGGAGCGUAGGUGGAUUGUUAAGUCAGUUGUGAAAGUUUGCGGCUCAACCGUAAAAUUGCAGUUGAAACUGGCAGUCUUGAGCAGAGGAGAGGUGUGCGGAAUUCGUGGUGUAGCGGUGAAAUGCUUAGAUAUCACGAAGAACUCCGAUUGCGAAGGCAGCUCACUGGACUGCAACUGACACUGAGGCUCGAAAGUGUGGGUAUCAAACAGGAUUAGAUACCCCAGUAGUC
rnacentral:rRNA from 1 species